CAGCAGCCACGGGAAUACGUAGGGUGCAAGCGUUAAUCGGAAUUACUGGGCGUAAAGCGUGCGCAGGCGGUUAUAUAAGACAGAUGUGAAAUCCCCGGGCUCAACCUGGGAACUGCAUUUGUGACUGUAUAGCUAGAGUACGGCAGAGGGGGAUGGAAUUCCGCGUGUAGCAGUGAAAUGCGUAGAUAUGCGGAGGAACACCGAUGGCGAAGGCAAUCCCCUGGGCCUGUACUGACGCUCAUGCACGAAAGCGUGGGGACCAAACAGGAUUAGAUACCCCGGUAGUCCCUGUCUCUUAUCA
rnacentral:rRNA from 1 species